UGACCUGCGUGGUAUGGAUCUCAGGACUGGAAAAGCCUACAGAAUUGGUCCUUUGAUCAGAGCUUAGCUGUGGCUCAUUGAUAAUUAAUAAAGACUCAUCCUGAACACCUCAUAUCUCUAUUAGGACUCCGUCACUUCCCUCGUGGUAUCAAAACUUCUAUCCUGUCUCUAUCUUCCUACCUUGUGGCUUCUCUCACCUCAGAGAGAACCUACAGAUGGCGCCCAACUUUCUCGUGGCAUUCCACUCUUUUAUUUCACACAGCGAAUGGGAGAACGCGUUCGAGGACACGAGGCUAAAGAGCGUAGGCAGGUGCCGGAGUUCCAGGAAGGUUGCCGUACCUCUGGCCAAGGACGAUAAUGAAAACAUCUGGUCUCCCACGUCAUGCUUCAUGCCAGCUGAUACAGACCAGGAAGAGAAGCAGACGGAAGGUGAUGGCAUCAGCUACCUACAUGCCAGCCACAAUCCAGACUCGCUGGAAGGACACUUCUUUGGUGACUAAUAUCACUCUAGAACAAUGACAUUACACUAUUAGAGACAUUGGCUAUUAGGCCACUGACGGACACUUGUCAUGCUGACAUCCAUUGAGAUGGGGUACCCAGAGCAACAUCAAGUAUGCUAACUCAGAAGGACUAAAUCACACUUGUGUCUGUGCAAGACACCAGAUACAUCCCACAUUCCAAAGACUUUGCGAUGGGAUUGAGAUGAAAUAGCUACAAAUUGUCUAGCUACUAAAGUAUACCUUGUAUUUUGUAUAUGAUACUGUCAAAAGAAAUGUAUAUUGUAUGCAUUGUAAAGCUACCACUUGUAUUGUAAGAAAUGCUGUUAUCAACAAGGGUAUAGACCUUGGUAGGACUCUCCAAAGAGUAGGAGAUAGAAAACUCUCAUCCAUAGGAUAGAUCUGAUAUUUCUGACAUCAAAAAUGAGGUGCUAAGCAGAAAAUGCUGCACAGACAGGUUUAAUGGACAGAUGACACUGAUGUUACUCUCAAGAAAGAAUGAGAGAUCAAGAAAAAGACAUUAGGAAAUCUUUAAUCAGGAACCUGAGUUAUUGUAAGAGAUCAUUGACAUCCAGGCAAAGAUUAUGUUCCUGACAUUACAUUAAGGGCUGACUACCAUAGCAGUAGUUGAGUGUUAAUACCAUUGCUAACCAUUACUCCUGAUACCCUGUCUUUGUGGGUAAUAUCUUAAUAGGAAAAAUGUCUUGCUCUCCUCCAACAGUCCCAGAAUUCAGAUGGCCGCUGGAUUCGGGAUCUAUUGGCUUCCCUUUCAUAUACUGGAAGACGUUCUGGUAUAUGGAAGUAAGACCUCAUGAAAAACUGAGGGCUCUAGGUUUGACAAUUUCUGUGGACGCGCAGUCAUUGUCUCUCCUAGGUGGAAAAAAUUAUUAUUGCACAAAAACAUUGAGCAAGGGCAAAGUAUAAUCUAAGUUUUACUGUUUUGGAGUAUGGAUUGAAAACAUGACACAAUAGGCACAGAUAAGCUUGCAGAAAAAGCACAUUG
rnacentral:lncRNA from 1 species